AUCGCUUCUCUGCCUUUUGGCUAAGAUCAAGUGUAGUAUCUGUUUAUAUCAGUUUAAUAUCUGAUAUGUCCCCUAUCCGCGGACCAUAUAUUAGUUGACUUUUGGACAAAGGAGAUGGUAUAGGAGCUUGCUCUGACCACUCCACGCAUCGGCCUGGUAUUGCAGUACUUCCGGGAAUGGUGCUCUUUGC
ensembl:snRNA U2 U2 spliceosomal RNA